UUUUCAAUAAAUUUUAUUUUAUAUAUACAUUUUAAAAUUAUGUUGCGAAUGUCUUAAGGUUCAUUUUGUUAAAAUUCAUCAUUAUUGAGCGGAAUUAAAACAGGAACCAAAUUAACUUUUACCGGGCGCCCAUUUAUUUUGGACUUCGGAUUAAGUACAACAUUUAUUUUAAAUGUACAAUAUAUAUAUAUAUAUAURUAUACGCAUGGCGCAUUUUCAGGCAAAAGGGUUAAAAAAAGCCUUCCGUCAAAAUCCCUUUUAUAUAUUUAUAUAAUAUUUAGCGUAUUUUUAAUUACGCAUUUUUAGGCAAAAGGGUUAAAAAAGCCUUCCGUCAAAAUCCCUUUUUAAGUUAUGCACUUUCCAGCUUACCUUAAUAGCGCAUAAUGAUUAUUUGCAUGUAUUAUUUGUGAUUUGAAAUUCAUAUCAUAUAUGAAUUGUUUCUUUCGGAUUGGAAACAUCUUUAAUG
rnacentral:misc_RNA from 1 species